rnacentral:rRNA from 1 species
UACGUAGGGUGCGAGCGUUAAUCGGAAUUACUGGGCGUAAAGCGUGCGCAGGCGGUUUUGUAAGUCUGACGUGAAAUCCCCCGGGCUUAACCUGGGAAUUGCGUUGGAGACUGCAAGGCUGGAGUCUGGCAGAGGGGGGGUAGAAUUCCACGUGUAGCAGUGAAAUGCGUAGAGAUGUGGAGGAACACCGAUGGCGAAGGCAGCCCCCUGGGCUGACACUGACGCUCAGGCACGAAAGCGU